UCUUUGGAUAUUCAUCUUCUCUUUGGAUAUUCAUCAAUAAGGUACUUUGCUAAAAUUUUACUAAAAAACUCUAUGGAAAAACCGUGACGAAAAAUAGUACAUUUCUUUUGACGAGGGCUAUUUUGUUAAAAUUCUUGUCAAAAAAAUCCUGUGGACAAAAACUUUAAUAAGAGUAUAAUUUCUUCCUCUUUUAUCAACAUCGAGGUCUUGAAAUCUAUAUAUUUUCGAUCUUGUGCAGCAGCCUUUCAAAAGAGAUUAGUCUACAAGACUAUUGUUUGACAACAUGUAUCGGAUAUUAGUUGCCAAUCAUAGCUUCUAAAGAGUAAAGAGUUGCUCUCUGGUGGAGCUGUGCAUAAUGUAAUGUGUUAUACUGUUAUCAUAUAAAGUUGUGUGUGUUUCUUCAAUAUAAGAUAAUCAAUAGGAUGCUUCAACAUGUUGAUUAACUGCCUUUUUUAUAGGACUAUCCAUGAAUUGUUUUGUGAAAUAGUUGUCAUAGUCAACUUUGUAGACUUCCACUAUAUAGUAAUAUCUCCAUGUAUAGCUAACUUGUUUGAGAUAUGUAUUUAUGUGGAUUUGUCGAGUAGUAAAUUAGACACUCUUCUUUUUUAUUUUUAACCUGUCCUUUUUUAAAUAAAAUCAAACUCGAUAUUAAUUUUUUAACCAACUUUUAGUUAAGGAGUCUAUCUUUACUCUUAUUUCUUCAAAAAAGAAUGGACUAAAUAUUGAUUAAUUGAUUUUUCUUGUUUCUUUUUAAUUAGUAUCUGCAAUAUUUUGUUUACAAAAGCGAUGUCUAUAUCAUAUAUUCAUAUUCUUUCAAGUAAUGUGUAUAGGUUUUGUAUGUAUCCCUGGAACAAAAUAUCUAGUCAUGCUUAUCUACUCUCAAGUCUCAACUAAAUAUCUUCUGAAAACCGUUGUGAACAAAGUCACCAGUACAAGGACUAUUGAAGAACACAAGGAAUAUGUCACUUCUAACCUCCAGCUGCUAUUUGUUACCAUGGUCAAAGCCUGCUCAAAUUCAUGGUUAUCUGAAUUUCAGCAAACAUUCAAAAUUGUUAAGGCAAGAAUGCACUACAGUGAGAUGCUGUAGUAGUAGAUCAUGGCAAACACCAAGAGCUCAACACAAUUAUUACGAAUUGCUUGGAGUUUCUGCUGAUUCAAAUGCCCAAGAAAUCAGAGAAGCUUACCGGAAGCUGCAGAAGCAGCAUCAUCCAGACAUUGUUGGCCAAAAGGGUCACAAGUAUACUCUAUUGUUGAAUGAGGCUUAUGAGGUGCUGAUGAAAGAUGAUCUAAGGAGAAAAUAUGACGAAUCAAUAAAUCAAAUGAGGAUAAGACUUGGGGAAAAUAACACUCCCUUGGGCAACAGCACGUGGAAAGGACCCUUAAGACCACAAGCUUUAUUUGUUGAUGAAAAUGCAUGCAUAGGAUGCAGAGAAUGUGUUUAUCAUGCAAGCAACACAUUUAUCAUGGAUGAAGCUCGUGGAUGUGCACGAGUCAAAGUUCAAUAUGGAGACACGGACCAAAAUAUUGAGGUCUGCACCAUCUUGCUUUCGCCUUUUGUUUUGCCAUGUCUUUGGAAUCGGGGUUGGAGAACGGCCUCCAAACAGCAAGGGAAAAGAAUCGACGGAGUGGCGAGGAGCCGAGGAGGGCAUUAGUGAGGAAGCAGAUCCAUGGGGCAACAGUGAUGACGUUCAGCCAGAAAGAAGGAGUUCCAGCAAGAGAUGACGGCGAAGUACUACAAACAACCUCAUCCAGGCCACACCAAGCAAGGAACAGAGACUUAGAAUCUAUGGCAGCAAAAAAACAUGGCAAUUAGAAAGCGGAGAUGGAAGCUAGACGAGAAACCCUGGGAAUCAUGCUCCAAGUAGCGGCGGAUGGAAUCGACGAAGAAAUGCAGAGGCAAUCACCACAGAGGUGGUUAGAAGAUUUCCGUUACGGCAGUGGCGCCCUUCGAAAGGCAUGGCGAAAGUUAUGGAACCAAAAUGUGCCGGAACUCCGGCCACAACCUCAGGAAAUUCUCACCAAUCAUGGAGCAGUGCGUAGGAAUCAUUCGAAGGGAGAAGAAGAAGAACCAAGUUGGCAUAUGAGGUGUCAAUUGAGUCAUGCCCAGUGAACUGCAUAUAUUGGGUGAAGAGAGAGGAAUUAGCGGUGCUUGAGUUUCUGAUCCAGCCACAGCCAAAGGCAGGGUAUGGAGUAUUUGGAGGUGGGUGGGAG